AUGAAGACGCCGGCUGUGUUGGACCCUAAGCUCCUUUUCAGAAGUUACCUCCAGUGGCUUUGCAUUAUGUCUGGCCCAUGGCUGAUGUUGAUUGAGUGGAUGAGAGACCGCCAAGGACCCUUUCGGAAAUCUGCUAAGAAAAGGAAAGUAUCUCUUUAACUCUUCAGUGAUACAAUAACAUUUGGAUUCAUUGAAGGAAAUCAUUGCUGAGUGAAGUAUUUCAUGCUGAAGAGGUAGGUAAUCGCUAUUUUGGCACAGAACAGAGAAGUUAUAUCUAUAUAUAUGUGUGUAUAUAUAAAUACAAUUAUGUAUACUUACAUUAUUAUAUAUUAAUAUUAUAUUAUUAUAUAUAUAAAAACUUAUUCAGACAAAAUUCCUCU
rnacentral:lncRNA from 1 species